UGUUUUUUUGUUGAUUUUUCGUAGCUGUCCUAGUGUUUUCAGUGACCUAUUUUUUUCAGAUCACAGUUUUGAGUUCACAAAUUUUUGCAAGGCAGACCCUCAAAAUGCCUUUGCUUUUUGUAGGGGUACUCAACACAGGAUUCUGCACUGAACUGCCCGUUUUGAACUUUCUGUAGGAGGCUUUCUGCAAGAUCUCCAAAAUAACAACGGCUUUCCAAUAAUUAUCCACACCGACAGAGUUUUUUUGUCCGCGCACUGGUUGAAUCGGUGGAGCAGAGGAGGAAGAGAUGGGGGCGACAAGCUCGAAGCCCAUGGCGACCGAAAUCGCAGGCGACGAGCCCCCCGUUCGCACCUCUGCUCGGCGCACGAGGCACCCGCUGUGGACACGGGGGGCGAGCGCUGCGCGGCCGUCGAGGCCUGCGGCAUCCACACCGCCGACGACCUCUGUGUUGCCGAUAAGGCACCGUCAUUCGGCCCUGCCCGCGAGCUCUGCGCGGCUGACGGGAUCAUCGGUGUCGGCACCGUCCCGGAGUUCUCCGCAGCUGAUUCUUGGCAAGAGGCAGUGAGUAGCUCACUUUUCCCCUCUUCUCCUGCCUGAUUUUUGUUGGUGCGACACGCUCAAAAUUACUGCCGCACAGCUCGAAUUUCCGUGCUCUGGGUGUGCACAAGUAGGUAUGUACGUUAUUUUGAGCCACUGCGGCCCUGGAUUUUUUGUGAGGGCAGCGACCCUGUGCCUGUGUUGCCCUAUGUUUUGGGCUAGCCAGAAUUUUGUAUUUUCAGUGCUGUGAUUCGUUAGGAUUUGUUGUUGCAUAGGGGGUACAAGAGUUGAGGAUGCACAAUGAACUCACAGCAAAGAAGGCAUGCCGUGCUAGUUGUUUUUCAUUUUUGUUCAGUGCAUAUGUUGAGAGAGCAUGCAUCAUGUUUUCAGUUUUCUAUUUUUGUUCAGAGAGCAUGCAUCAUGUUCAGAGAGUUUGAGUUAUGAGCCAAUGUUCAGAGAGUAUGCAGCAUGUUCAUAGAGUUUGACUCAUUAUCUUCAGUAAUUGUUCGUAGAGCUUGCAUCGUGUUCAGAGAGUUUGACUCUCAUUAUAUUCAGUAAUUUCAGAUCGUCGUCACAUUUUUUACUGCUAGUCUUUCAUCUUCAGAGGUUGACUAAUCAGUCAUUGUUCAUUUUUGUUCAUUCACAAAAACUGUCUGGGUUUUUGCACUUUUUCCUGAGUCAUCUAAGCUUCUUUCUUGCAAAAAAAACUUCUACUAACAAGGCCAGGUCUGCGUGCACAUGUGGCCUUUUUCGUGUAAAAAAACAAACAAACAAAAAAGCCCAACAAAAACAAGCUCAGGUGGCGGGGGUAGCUGGCUGGAAGGGAUGGGCUGCCCACACGACAAACAAACUGGCCGACGCAAACAAACAAGCAUCCUUGUGCGGGGGUGAUCGGGAGCAACCAAGCUUAUUGUUUGUCAACAGCGGAUAAAAAUAGGCAGCAAUACUACAUCAGCAGUGGACUGGACCGAGUUGCACCUUUCUCUACUCCGAGCGCGUGUAGUCCUGCUUCUCGGCUGGUUCGUCUCGGUCACGUUGCCGAAUCAAAUCAACCAGAGCAUCUCUUCCCUUCAACCAAAAAAAAGCAGCAUCUCCCCUUGGAUUGAAAACAUGAAUCUUGGCGCACGUUGACCCUCCACGUCGGCAGCGCACGCUCGCCGAGGGGGAGGUGCAUGGUGAACGAGACACAACGCAGCCCACUUCUUUUCCACCCACUCGCCGAUGCUGCCUCAUCUUAUCCAUUCCCCACCGCAUCUUGCCACGGUGAUUCCCUUUCUGGGCGUUUUCGCCCGAGCACUGCACGGGUGGCUCCGCCGCCACCACGUUGUUUCCUCUACGGUCCGGCGGAUCUAGGAGGCGCGUCGUCAUUUCCACCGCAAACCCUCGGCAUCUAGUCGUCGCUCCACUGGGAGGAGGCCCAGGAGACAAGGCGGUGAUGAGGCGGGCGGCGUUUGCGGCAGAGAUGAGGGGGUUGCGGAGACGAGGUAGGGGUGGCGGUGGCGGAGAUGAGGCGACCGGCGCUACCGACGAGAUAGAGGGUGAUGGGGUGGUGUGCUGCAGGGGCGGCGCCCGCGCAGCCGGCCGCCGAGGCAUGGGAGGAGGUGCGUGAUGCUACAACCGCCUUCAUCGAGGUCCUCAAUGAGCGGCCCUCACUGGACCCAUCGAGACGCUUGGCGGCUGAGCCAGCGGCUCCACGCUCCUCGCCGUCGAAGUGACCCUACUUUUUCUCCAGUUCGAAGUUCCUUGAUUUACACGAAGAGAAGGAUUGUCGGCAGCUGGAAUUCUGGACCUGAAAAGGCUAUGUCAGAGAUACCUAUUCAGCACAACUCCAAAUGAGCUGAAAUUUCAUGGAGAAUUAUUUUGGAAUAUAUAAAAAUAUACUGGAGAAAAUAAAUAUUAGAGGAGGCCACCCAGGUGCCCACGAAGCACCAGGGCGCGCCCUGGUGGCUUGUGGGGCCCCUGGCCAGCCUUUGUGGCCCAUCUUCUUCUAUAUGAAGUCAUUUGCCCUAGAAAAAAUAAGGAGAGGGCUUUAGGGAUGAA